UCCGGUUUGGCACCGGCAGUCUCCCUAGAGUUCCCGGCUUUACCCGCUGGCAACUAAGGACAAGGGUUGCGCUCGUUGCGCCACUUAAGGCAACACCUCACGACACGAGCUGACGACAGCCAUGCACCACCUGUGUACGGCCCCGAAGGACACCGUAUCUCUACGGCUUUUCCCAUGAUGUCAAACCCAGGUAAGGUUCUUCGGGUCGCAUCGAAUUAAGCCGCAUGUUCCGCCGCUUGUGCGGGGACCCGCCAAUUCCUUUGAGUUUUAGCCUUGCGGCCGUACUCCCCAGGCGGGGUGCUUAAUGCGUUAGCUUCGGCACGGACGGGGUUGAUAUCCGCCCACACCUAGCACCCAACGUUUACGGCUAGGACUAC
rnacentral:misc_RNA from 1 species